rnacentral:rRNA from 1 species
GACGAACCGUGCGAACGUUAUUCGGAAUCACUGGGCUUAAAGCGCGUGUAGGCGGGAGGGCACGUCCGUCGCUGAAAUCCCCCGGCUCAACCGGGGAACGGGCGCGGAUACGACCUUCCUGGAGGGGCGUAGGGGGACCUGGAACUUCCGGUGGAGCGGUGAAAUGCGUUGAGAUCGGAAGGAACGCCCGUGGCGAAAGCGAGGUCCUGGACGCCUACUGACGCUGAGACGCGAAAGCGUGGGGAGCGAACAGG